UCCAGAUCCUUUUAUAUAGACAAUGAGUUUUACUUCUUUCUCAGGUUUAUAGUAUGGCUCACACCAUAUUAUUUAAAGAUUCUAUUUAUAGAUAUGGCUUUGGAAAUUCUUGGUUUUACACACCUUGUAAAGUGAAUGGUCUUACAGACAAGAUUUUCAAAAGUGGAUGUAGUGAAUAAAAAGUAAUACAUGUUUUUAUUGACAUAUUUUGUCAAAUUGCCCAUCUAGAACUCUUAAAAAUCGGAGGUGAAAAUUCCCACACUGUUACCAACACCAGUUGUAAUCAGCCUUUACACUUUUUUCCUCAAAUUACUGUAUUUUUUUAACAAAUUUAUUUAAAUUCACAUUAGUUAACAUACUGUGUAGUAUUGGUUUCAGGAAUAGAACCCAGUAAUUCAUCACUUACAUUUACCUGAUGGACAGGAUGUAGUAUCUCGUGGCCUCAAUCCGCACUCGUCUGAUUACUCAUGAUGAUUUUUCCUUUUGUUUUUCUGACUUGUUCCUGUUAUGAAUCUUCUGUUGCAAGGUUUAUCUUUUUUCUCGUUGGUUUUGAAGAUGAUUCUUCUAUGAGUAUCAGCCUUUGUUGUGCAUGUUUCUCUGCAUUUUUCUCUUCUCACUUUGUAAUGUCUUUUGCACCAUGGCAGCUUCAUAUUAUUAUGUCUUCAGAUUUGUCAAUCUUCUGCUUACGGCUUUUGCCAUUAAUCUUUUGUAAGUCAGACACGGGUUAUGAUACAUUUGAAGAGUUAGCAAUGCUACUUCAACUUCACGCUAAUUGAGACGAUCUCCCUGUUGUCCUAAUUGAGUUGCACAUAGUAACCAACCAUCUGGUGGUUUUCCAAUGUCUUAGGGGUUGUUUUCCUUCGGAUUAUUUACCCAGCCCUCCUGAAAUUUCUCCCUGUGUCUUUGUGGGUGGAAUUCUUCAGCUGUAAGUCGUUCCCUGCAAAGUCAGAAAAACAAUGACUACAAACUGAAUUACCAAGUCGGCAGGUUGCAGAUCUCAGGGCAUUUGUGGAGCCGAGCCCAUGCAGGCAGCCUCCCAGCCCCAAGUCCAGGACAUGUACAAGCCUCCAGGACAGAGGAUGGCACUCGGGACAAUUUGAAGCAUGUGGGGGACCUGGAGAGAUAGCUCUGCCCUGACAGAGGCAGGAUUCAGUGGCCUGCCCCGAGACCAGACGCAGCCAGUGGAAGAGCUGCCUUCAGUGAGUUGGCAUCUGGGUGCUUCCCUUGACAAGGUGCAACAUUUGAUCAUACCCCUUUUGGCAGUUGUUCGGCUACGCAUCCUGCAGUAAGCGCUCCCCAGCCGAGACGGACGGGCGAGUGAGUCCUGCAAAUCUAGAACUGGUGUGAGAAGCGGAAGGCUUCAAGGGUCUUAUUUUAAUUGUGCCCCUGGUACUGAAGAAACACCGGAAUUAUGAAGUUGUUAAGUAUUUCUUCCAUACAUUUAUAUUUUCUACAGCUGCACGAGUGCCCAUGUAACUCAGACAUUCCCAUUACUGUGUUUGCACAUGUAUAAAAUGAUAGGAAACACAAAAAUUGAAAACACCAGUGGGGUCACAAUCAUUUAAGAGCUAUAUGGAACUUGUAUUUUUUGGUGACAUUUUCUAUAAGGUGAAGAGCUCUUGAGGUGCAUGAGGCAUUUUGAGAAAUUUCUUUGCAUAAAUUUGCCAGCAUGUGGUUAAUUCAGUAGUCAAAUCCUAUAUUUUCUCAUGAAAAUUUAUGUUUCAUAAAGUCAUAUAAUUUGUUGAAAAAAUUUUGACUUUUGACUUAGCUCCAGACCAGAGCAAUUAGGUCAAAAUAUCUGCAGGUGUGGGUCAGGCAGUGGCUUGUUUAAAGUCCCUGUUUUUCGUUUCUUUUUCUUUUUCUUUUUUUGUAUGUAGGCUUCACACCUAGUGUGGAGCCCAACAUGGAGCAUGAACAACUCACGACCCUGAGAUCAAGAAAUCGGCUGAAAUCAAGAGUCUGAUGCUUAAUAGACUGAGCCACCCACCCCCCCCGCCCCCGGCCCCUGUUUUCUAACGUAACCUGUGUUAACCACCAACUAUACAAAAGGUGUAGUGUAUUCAUUUAAGCCUUUUUUAAUAACAGAGAAAUCAGU